rnacentral:lncRNA from 1 species
CGUAGCAAAAGAGGGCUCAGUUUUGCCUUUCGUCUUCAAGCCCAACACUCACAUCUCUUGCUGCAUAAUCUACCCAUCGCGAAUGUAUAAGAACUGUCCUGGUUAUCAUUCAUCAGAAUGACCGUCCAAGGCGCAGAACAUAAAACAUUAGCAAUGAAUUGAACAGGCUGCAAGAGAGGUAAGGGUGUGCUCUAAUUUAGUACCCAUAGGCCACAGUUGUCUUAAUUGCUCAAGACACGCUUAUUUCAGCCACGGUCAUCAUCAUCGCCCCUGGUAAGAACUCCAUCUCUUCAUCACACAGUAGCAUGCAUACAUCAUCUAUCCAUCCAUCAGGCUGGUCAUAGUGGUAAGUAAAUUGUGCAUCCAUGAUAUCCAUUACAGGUAUGCACGCAUCCAUCCAUCCUCUUUAAUUACUUGUCGGAUCAUCUUUUUUGCCUAUGUGGCAUGCAUGUUACUACUCCCUCCGUUCCAUAAUUACUGUCGUGGCUUUAGUUCAAUCUGAACUAAAACCUAAGUUACUCCCACUAUGACUAGUCCCAGUCUCAGGAGCUGCUCACUGACCAAACCUCCGAGUGUGGACGACGCAUCAGACAACGCCUUACGGUUCCCAGCCCACGCCACAACUAAAUCCAAGGCAAUGGAAUGGCAGUGGCUGGCAGCACCGUAGAGACGGAGAACUGACGUGGCAGCCACCCGGGCGAUGGGGUAGCAAGUCGGCAAUGAGAGCUUGACUGGUUUGUUUUAGAGAGAGAGAGAGAGAGAGAGAGAGAGGCGAGGAGGAUCCAUACCGGAUCCAAAACAAAAUGCAACUGAACUGAGUAUAUGUAGCAUAGCAAAAGAGGGCUCAGUUUUGCAUUUCAUCUUCAAACCCAACACUCGCAUCUCUUGCUCCAUAAUCCACCCAUCGCAGUGUAAGAGAACUGCACUGGUAAUCACUCGUCAGAACGACCGUCCAAAGGGACAGAACAUCCAACAUUGGCAAUGAAUUGGACAGGCUGCAAGAGAGGUAAGGGUGGGCUCUAAGAGCAACUCCAACAAGGAUACCGAUUUUCUGGCACUGCUUAGUCCCACCUCGCCGAGCUGUCUUGAUUGCUCAAGACAUGAUUAUUUCAGCCACAGUCAUCAUCAUCGGCAUCACCCCUCUUUUUUUUCCAAAAAGGAGGUUGAACCCCCAAGCAACAUGACCAUGAUAUCCGUACAUACAUACUCCCUCCGUUCCAAACUAAGUGUCAUGGUUUUAGUACACGACACAUUAAUGCAGCCAUCCUUCUCAGGAGCUGCUCAUACCUGGCGUCGGCCGACCAAACUUCCCAGUGCGGAGCACGCAUCAGACAACACCGUGCGGUUCCUCCCAGCCCACGCCACAACCAAACCCAAGGCAAUGGAGCAGCGGUGGCUGGCGGCACUGUAGCGGUGGGGAACUGACGCUGGUCGGCGAUCCGGCAACGAGAGCUCGCCUGAUUUGGUUCUGGUGGUGUGAACUGCACGCGCGCACGCACGCACCGAGAGAGAGAGAGAGAGAGAGAGAGAGAGAGAGAGAGAUGGGGACCGUACCGGAUCCAAAGCGAAACGCAGCCAAGCUGCGAGAAAUCCAUGGACGGCGGCUCAGAUCCCGCGCCGGCCCGACCAAGCCCUCGACCGGAGCGCACCACGGGCACCAGCAGCCCGCACGGCCGCGGACGCCUCCCGCACCGGCGGCAGUCCCGAGGGGCCUGCGAGCCGAUGCGCGAUCCGUCGCAGCGGGAGGGGCUGGCCCCGAGGGAGCGGCGACGCGGCGCGUCCGUCGGUCGGUAGCUGGCCGGCGCCGGCGGCUCCCUCCGUCAUCGCCGCCGUCAGGAGAGGGACGCGGUCAUCGGCCACGGCGAGAGGGACGGGCGCGGCGGCAGGAUUCGGUGAGAUAUGGAUAGAGCGCUCGCAUGCUAUGCUCCGCCCCGCGCGCAGCCAUGCCGCCGGUGGCCUCUCGCAGCCGGAGUGGUCCGAGGCAUAGCUAGCUAGCUAGGGUUCGGCGCCGGCGGGAGAAGAUGGGUCCAGAUCCAGGUCCGGCUGUAGAUGCUGUAAAUAAGGACCAGUGAAAGGGUCAUUUAGCAAAAACAAUACUACUACUCCAAAUGCAUGGAGGGGAAGGGGAAUGAGAGCACGUGUUGAGGUGAGGGGAGGGGAAGAAGGAUGAAAGCAGCCUGAGGGGAGGGCAGGCGUGCCCUAGAGUCAGACCGAGUGCACGUGUCCCGUGUUGUGCCUUGACGGUCAGUCGAACAUAAAAAUUGAAAAAAAAAACAUACAUAAAUCUUCGUGUAAAAUCAAUGAUAGAAUUUAGAUGUGCAAUGCGUAGAGUACAUCUAGAUGUGCUUUAGCAAAAUCGUUUUCUCGUGUCCUCUCCAUCAAAGACAUUGUUUAACUUAGGCCAACCUCAACGCGGGCGCUCCAACGGACGCGGAUGUUGCCCUUUUUUGUAUGUUUGGGUUGGCUAGGCAAACGGUCAAUGUUCGAUUUUUGUCCGCCGAACCAUAGAUUAGCCCAACGCGGACGACAGAUUUCAGAAUUAUAAAAAACUAGAGCCAAGAAAAAAAAUAAUGAAAUAGCCACCAGAAGUCCAGUUUACAUAAAUUAAAAUGAAAACAUAAAAAAAAUGAAAAUGAAAACAGGCACACGGUGGAUGCAGGCAGUGGCGGCGGCGUCAUCCUUCUCGGUCAAGUCGACGUACACCGGCGCAUCCAUCCACGAAGGCUGCUAGCGCCGCGCUGCACCUGUCGCCGCCUGCUGGACCGGUUGAGUGGUGUGUACAUGUGUGUCGUCUGCUGCUUGGCUACCAACGACGCGUGUCUCGGCCUCCUACAGGUGUCGUUGCUUCUCCUCUUCGUCACGCCUAGCGGAACAGGCGUGCCCAUGAAAUUGAACGCCGCAACUCCUCGAGCACAUGCGAUGCUUGCGGGUAAACCUGGGCAAACGUCGGGCCGGGCUUGUAAAAGCCCGACCUUCAUUUCUCAAGCCCGAGCCCGGCCCGAAGCCCGAAAUACUCCCUGAAAUCAAGCCCGAGCCCGGCCCGAAAUCAAGCCCGAAGCCCGAAAGCCCGGCCCGAACGCUGUUUUUUAGUACGUGUACGUGCAAGCCCGGCCCGAAGCCCGAAAGCCCGGCCCGAAAAAUAGAAAAAGACAAGCCCGAGCCCGGCCCGAACUACCUUUCGGGCUGCAAAACAAAGCCCGAGCCCGGCCCGAGUGUCAAGCCCGGCCCAACCCGGCCCGGGUUUUUCGGGCCGGGCUCGGGCCGGGCUGCCCAUGCCCGGGUUUACUUGCGGGUGUGGCCGCGGCCCGUUGGUCUCCACGCCGGUCGUUUAACUAAUUAAUGUUGAACCUUAUACUCCCACUAUUCCUUAAUACAGUGCAUAUAUGUUAUCUUAAAAGCCAAACUUUAUUAACUUUGACCAAGUUUAUAGAGAAUAAAAUACUUUAUAUAAUAAGAUGGACUAUCUCAUAUUAUUAUGUAUGUGAUAUUGUAGCUGUAGAUAAUUUCACCCAUAAACAUGUUUAGAGUUGACUCCUAAAAUAAUUUAUAUACACUAGAAGUAUUAAGCCUAAAACCUUACACACUCAAGACCACUUGUACCAUCGUUCAGGACAAAGGCCACUUCAAAGUUAUUGAUCCUAGGCCCCACGAUCAGCAGGCAUCGGCCUGGCUCGAUGAGAAUUUUGGGGGCCAUUGCUUUGGUUGAAGGAGAUUUACAUCUCCCACAAGGACCGGACGUGAAUACCCCGCAAAAAGAAAAGGACCGGACUUGAAGCACGAGAUGUGAUGUGUCCUCAUCCUAAUACUCUUUCGCUUUAUGUAUUUUCAACUUGUCUAGAUCACUCUCAUCGGUGUUAUUAAGCCAAAUCAUCAUUUCAUCUCAAGACUCAAUCUACAUGUGCCCAUCAUGUACCCCAACAAACGAGCAUAAACCCCCACCGAACCAGCCUAGACAAAGAUUACACCAAAAAGCGACGAGUCGGCCCACUGCAUGAAAUGCAGAAGAAAAGAACUGGCUUCGUGGUGGACCAAUAUGUCAAAGCCCAAUACCGCAAACCGGAAGGCCAUGGCUUCCCUAACAAUGCUCAUCUCUUGGGUUAUUUGAAACGAGAGAAAUUCUAGUGUUUAGAAAGAAAUCCACUAACAUUGUCAUGCUUAUCCACCCCUUCUACAUUCUCAAGCUCAUCCAGGACGAGGCAAGGCUUUUGGAUCACAGCGGGAGGUAGGCAUCUGAGCAUCAUCAUGCCGCACUUUUUUGUGUUGGUAGGUGUUCGUGAUGUAUAGUUAUCUCUAUUGGGCUAUGAUGUGGAACCAAUGUGAUGUGGAGUCAAGAAUACCAACAUGAGCAAAAUCCAGUUAGGUAGUUAUCGCAGAGAAAAAUACACCCUCUGUACUAAAUUUAAGCCGUUAAUAGGCCAUUAAAUUCUAGCUCUGCAUAACCCGGCAAUCCGGCCCAUGGGCACCCGAACCGAAUAAUAUUUAUAUGUAUAGAUUGUACUCCCUCCUUCCGGGAAAAGUUGUCACCGUGGCUUUUUUGCAAAAAAAAAAACCUUUGCUUUAGUCCGACACAACCCGCACUCCUCCGCCGCUCCUCUGCUCUGCUCAGCUCUACUCAGCUCCCUCGCUCGUCCUCCGCCGCAGCUCCCCUGCUCCGCUGCCUGUCCCCUCCUCCGCCGCCUCCCUGCUCCCGGUCCAUUUCCCCGUGCAGCUCCCGCCUCCCAUACCUAAAAAUCAUGUCUUCCCCCAAUCAACGGCAGCGAGGACGAAGCGGCGCUCGAUCUAGAGGGCACGGGGACGAGGGCAGCGACAAGUGUAGUUCUUAAUGAUGCAGAGCGCGGUGGAUGCUCCGGUGGGCUUCUACGGUGAACUCCAUCCUCUCCCUCCCCACCACCAGGACCACCUCCGGUCGCUCCCUUCCGCCCCGCGCCGCAACCACCCUCCCCUUCCCAAGAACCAUCGCCAGACCAUGUUCAUGUCGUCGGAAGGCGGGAGCACCAACGGCUCGUUGCUGGGGCUUCCCCCCUGGACGAGGAGGAGGACAACGAGGCCUGCCCCGUCAAUGGUUGCUGCUGAAUUGCAGUAUUCCUCGGGUCACGACGGUUGCUGUAUGUCCCAAUGUCAAAGGUUUGACAUUUGUUGCUGCUGAAUUGCAGUAUUCCCCGGGUAACGACGGUUGCUGCAUGUCCCAAUGUCAAAGGUUUGACAUUUGUUGCUGCUGAAUUGCAGUAUUCCUCGGGUCACGACGGUUGCUGUAUGUCCCAAUGUCAAAGGUUUGACAUUUGUUGCUGCUGAAUUAUGAAUUCUCAUCCUCUUUUCUUGUUGAUGUUGAAUGCUAAAUUCCGGCGAGCAGCUCCUCAGGUCGCCGGGCUUCUGGUGAAGAUCUUCGUGUGGGUCCUCGAGAUGCCGGUGGUGGGCUGGAUCUUGCUCUACAUCCUCAAGAAGGACAAUCUCAUCAACAAGGUGCAUGCACUUGUGCUGAAUGUUUUUUUAUGCCUGAGCGUCGCAAUUCUGAUUCUCAAUUCUACUCGCAUGUGUACGAUGUUUGUUCACCUGUAGGCAUUGAUCAGUACAGUUUCACCAAAGCAAUCUCUGGGCACAGUUAUUUUACAGCAGACAAUUCACUCUUCUGUGGUGUUUUUACUUUUUGCUGAAAUGCUCUGCUGAUUCAGAAAAACCAUUAGCUGCUGUUGCUGCAGACACCCUAGCCAAAUUCAGUUAACUUAAUCUGAAUAAUUCAGUUAACUUAACAGGGGAGCGUGUGUAUGCUGCGAACGAAUGCAUUUACUGAAUGUUAUUUUGAGGGACAUGUUUUUAUCAACUCUUAGUUAAGAUAAAUUAACCGUGUAAGGUGCUCUUUUGAUUACUAGUGAAGUGCUGCUCUAAAUAUCAUUGCAGCAAGAAAAACUUCAGUUUACUACAGUUUUCAGUUUGGAAUAGUGCACAAAAGACAAAUAGAUUCCUAUGCACUAUUGUGCGCUAUUCGGAGCACAAUUCAGUGUACUGCAGUUUAUUGCAUAAUUGUGCACUUUUUUAACACAUAACUUAGUCUGAAAAAAAAUUAAAAGCAACAAUGUCUAUUCCUGCUACCCUAGUUGAUCUAGUUAUGCAAAUGUUCAGAAAUGUCCAGUUUGUACAUUUUGAAAAAAGGCUGCCAUGGCCACAAAGGAUGCCAUGCAAGAUUGUUCACUUAAACUUCACUGUACAGCAACUUAAAUUUUGUGCAUCUACUGUUUACUCCACUGUACAAACUUGAAUUUGUGUGACAUGAGCUUUUGUUGGUUGCUACUCCACUAGAUAUUGACUGAUUAGACUAAACUGUAGGAUAGUGGUGCUGGUCCAUCUAGGGCACUACUCCCAUUUUUGCUCACAAUUAUUCAGAUAAGGACUACUCCUAGUAACAAAACAGAUCAUUUACUGAAAAUAGCUCUACAUAUUUUAGCAAUAGCUCUACAUUUACUGAAAAUAAACUUGAUGUACUGAGAAGAAACUUGGGCAUUGUUUACUGAAAAUAAACUUUAUCUACUGAAAAUAAACAAUCACUGAUCAGCAGCAGUUCUCAUCACCAUGAUAAGAUAAGCCAGAUGCUCUAUUUUUAAUUAACAGUAAUCCAUGAUCAGCAGCAGUUUCUUUCACUAAUUUUCAGUUAACAACAAUCCAUGAUUUUUUUUAUCAAGUGUGAUUUUGGGUAAAUAAGCCCUCUGUAAUUUAGAUCUUUACUACUGUCAAGUCUGACUUGUCAAUGAGAAACCAGUAACUAGUCAAUGUCAAAACUGUGAAAACUGAAAACAAAUUCAGUAAAUUUGAUCUUUUAUGCUGCAUUGCUGAAAAUUGACAGUAAAUUUUCAUGUACUGAAAUGAAGGCUCAAUGCUGCAUUGCUGACUGGAUAAAUUCAUUGCUGAACAAUUUCUGAACUUUAAUUUGUUCAUUGCGUAUAUGAAGGCUCUCUAGCACAUCAGGAUGAUCCACUCAUCAAAUUACAGACUAGAUGAUCCGCUGCUACUCUAAUUCACCUCAAUUUGAUCUGCACAACAAAUUAACAUCAAUUUGACAUUGAUUUCAGGGCGCUGGCUACCUUUCAGUAGCAGCAGAGGCGGCGAGGAGGAGCUGGGUCGCCUGGACGAAGAAGAAGAAAUCGGCAAGGAGGAAAGGGUGGGCGGCGGUGGUCGCCUCUGUAGCAGGUGGGCGGCGGCGUUGGGCCCUACAGUGUUUGCGCUGGUCACCUCGGUGCACGGCAGUGGAGCAGCGGCUGCCCGAGGUCUUGCCCAACUCCCACAGCAGAGUGCCCGGCCUUGGCACGCCGGGGUUGCGACCGGAGAUGCCGGGGUUGCGACCGGAGAUGCGAGCAGAACGACGAGUAGAGCCGCCCAUGAGCCGUGGAAUCACCGCCCGUCGAGGUGUCGCCGCGGAGGAGCAGGUGGGCGGCGGCAAAGCUCGCCUCCGCAGCGCAACUAGGCAAGGGCGGCGCAAGAUGGCAGCUGCGGGGCAGGUGGGCGGCGGCGCAAGUGGGACUUCAUCACGCGGUGCUCGCAGGCGAUGGGGGGAGACGAAGGCUAGAGCAUGCGGUGCCGGCGGGCGUCAGGGGAGGAAGAAGGGCUGAUUAGAACUAGAUUUAAAAUGAAAGGUUUUUUUUGUAAAGUUACAAUUGAACUACGCUGGUGACAACUUUUCCCGGACGGAGGGAGUAUAUUGGUAGUACAGUUGCAUCGAGGGGUAACGCAUAAAGCCAAGCCACUGACGUUAGCUAUCAAAAAUUUCAUUCCAAGCCAUGACAACUAAUAUUCUCGCACUCGGUUGCAUCCAAAUGGACAAGCAUGCUACCAGAUUGACCAUAUGGAUUACAGCACCGCCAACCACUUGUAUAUAUGACUUGAACAGGCAUCAGCCCAGAGAAGGGUGGACAUAUAAAAAAGCUUCAUUGCUGCUCCAAGGCAUACUUAUUACAACUAAUCAGAAAGCAUCAUCAGAACUAAUCAGACUUGAAGUACUUCAUGGUGGUAGUUCAUACUCUUGUAGCUUGUGAUUAUCUAAUAUCAAGAUUUCUAGGCGGGCAAUUUUAUUCAUAUACGUUUCAUGAAAAUUAUGUCGUUAAAGGAGGUAGUAGUUCAAGGUAGCCCACUGAAAGCUAAGGAAUUAACCACAUAGGAGAUCAAGAUGUAGAAUACACUGAAGUUCAAAUGAACAUAUUACUGGAAAUAUCAACGGUGCAUAGAAAGGGGGCAACACACAAGAGGCAAACAUAGACAUAUAUAGGGGAGGAGUGCUGCAGAUUAGGCUGCACCCCUGUGGGCCCUGGGAGUAAGCAUGUAGGCACGCAAUAUCCAACGCAUUCAUAUGGGCAAACCCCACUCUAUAUCCGAUACACUUGGCGAUCCGCGUUGCAGAUGCUCUUACACCCCUGUGUGACAUUUCAGCAUUCAAAUGGUUGCUCACUGAAAGCAAGCCAUCCCAAUUUGCACGCUUCCACCUAGUCACACAAAACCCUAACCCUAACACAUACCAUAAAUACAAGUGAUGGUAUCUGAUCUCAAUACACCUCUGAAUGAGCCUUACUCAUCAUCGCCAUCAACAGCACUUUGGCGCAAAUCCCACAAAGAGAACAACAGAGAAGCCAAUAGUCAAAGAGCGCAAGAUGGCAAGGAACCACAGGAGAAUCAGUAAAAGCAGAAAGAAUCACUAUAUCAGGAGCAAAUCAUGAACUGGUGGACACAAAAACUGGGACAUGUAUAAGUAAAUGGCUCAGAUACACUCCCAUCUCAACACUAUAACUGAAUUUCUGGUAGAAUGACCAUGAACAUUUAUAUUUGUGAACGGAGGGAAUAACAGUUAAGAAGGGAGCCUUGGAGCAGCGGUAAAGCUGUAGCCUUGUAACCUUGAGGUCAUGGGUUCGAGUCCUGGAAACAGCCUCUUGCAGAAAUGUAGGGAAAGGCUGCGUACUAUAGAUCCAAAGCGAUUGGACCCUUCCCCGGACCCUGUGCAAGCAGGAGCUACGUGCACCGGACUGCCCUUUAGGGAGUAAUAGUUAGCCGCUAAACUGGUUACUUGCUGUGACACAAGCCAUCCUAGUUUAGCACCAAGUAAAUCGAUUCAGGUGUUAAGAUAGAAGCUCUCACAGGGAGGUUAUAUCAUCACAGCCAUUCAUGAACAUGAUACGAAGAAAACAGUAAUCUUGACAGCUGAACUUGCCCUAUACGACCCUUAAGUUGAAACCAGUAAAGAAGUAACGCGAAACCAAAAGUACAAACUGAUAAGUAGAUAAAGAGUACAAUAGAAGGAUGAAAUUAUCAAGUCAAAUAGCAAUUGAAACAAGCAAACUGACCCAGCACCAAAUAAGAUAGUUUCAAAAGCCAUCCAAGGGACAGCAGAAUUAUCAUAGCCAUUCAAGAAGAAGGAAGAAACGGAAAAAGGAAAAAAAACAGAAGAAAUAAUUAAGUGUGGCUGGAGUACUGUUCCUAAAACAACAGAACUCGUUGACUACUGCAAAACCAACAAAAUGUGUAGGAAAAAAGGAAAAACAGUCCCUUGCAUCCACCAGACCAUGAUUUUACCGAAAGAACUAAUAUCAUAACCAAACUCUCAACAUAUCUUUAACAUAUACAUGGAUGCGAGCAAGCAAGAAAUACAAAUUCUCAGAAAGGAAAAGAUCAGUUCAAAUUUUGGGAAGGAAACACUUAUUUUUACUCAGAACUUUAUUGGGCGGGAGUCUCGGAAUUGGCCAAUUUAUAGAAGGUAGUCAUGGUAUUUUUGCAACAAGAGAUUAUAAGAGGUAGAUACAGGCUUAUGACAACAUUGUGUUUUUCCACGUAUUGCCUUCUAUAAGCAAUUAAAAUGGUCAUCAGCAGAAAGCAAACCGUGCAAAUUGUAUUCCUUGAGACCAGUUAGCAGUUGCUGUGCUGGACCAAAACAGUAGAAAAGAAGUUUGACAACUUGCCAACUUGAAUGUACAUCACUGCCAAAAGAACCAGUAAAAAUUUAAUAGGGGUAGUAAAUAAGGACAUGGAAUAUGACCAAAGAACUAGCCAUGGGCAAUUGGGCAGGGGUGCGAGGAAGCUAGCUAUCCAUGUGCCAGAACCAUGAGUUGGUUGCGAGAUCCUAUGGGUUUGCUGUUUUCCAUGUGCCAGCUCUAGCCUACCCCAACUUGUUUGGAACUAAAGGCUUUGCUGUUGUUGUUGGUAGUAAAGGAGGACAUGCACAGAUCAUCUUCCGCAUAUUUAACCACUCAACAGAAUGACCAUCCAAGACAGAGCCAUCAAUAUUCGGUCAGAAUGAAAAGGUCAUAAAAGAGGGGAGAGCGUUUUUUUAAUACCCACGGCUCCUCGAAUAAUCGAAGACAGGUUUAUUGUCAGCCAAGUUUGAUCAUCAUCGCCCCUUAUAAAUAGAUAGAGAGAUCCCUUUGCGCAUGCAACAGGUAAGGGUGAAAAGUCGGUUGGACCAGAUACAGAAUAUCUGCAGCUAAGCACAGUAUCAGCAGCUGGAGGGCGAUUAGAACAUGAGGAAUAGUUCACAAAAUCCUGGGGAAUUUUUGGGGAGUACUAUUUGAAUGAGUGACUCAAACACCAUGAAUCACCAAAGUUGGGAAAUGCUUCAGGUGGUACAAAGUACUGGGAAAUUUUUGGGGAGUACUAUUUGAAUGAAUGAAGUGGUACCAUAAACAAUAAAAUAUCUGUCUCCCUCUCCCUCUCUCUCUCCAGCAACAAAUUGCCGCAACUAGUAACUUGCUGCAGCGCAAGGCCUCCUAGUUUAACGACCAGCUGUCUAACUGGGCAAAUUUGAAUGGAACCAACCUAGGAGACGUGAAAGCAUCUCUAUCACAAGAUAGUUGAAAGAUCUCCAACGCCAAGGGGCAGAAAUCACCAUAGCCAUUCAGAAAAUAAUAAAACUCAUCAACACACAACGGAAACAAAUAUGCUGUGUUCAGAAGUUAACUUGGAACACUGCACUGAUGUCCGUAUUACUGGCAACGAAAGAAGCAAUUGACAUUUGUACACUUCAGAUAAAAGGAGUAACUACAAGCCAAAUAAAAAUAGGAUGACAUAAACUUUCCGUUUUGAAACAGCAGAAAAGCAUAAGCUUGCAAAAAGGGAUGCACAUAAUACAAACAGAAAACAGGAAAUGCAGCUCGCCCGUUUAUCCCAUGAAAAAUGGGUUCUAAUGCUAAAUAGUCAGACAUGUAACACUGGAUAGUGGCAAUACUAUUCCACCAUGAAACUGAACAGCGGUCAGUCCAACCUCUGGCAAAAUGAAAACACAGCCAAAUCAAGAAUACUGAAUAAAAUUUAAAAUAUAUAAUGAGAAGAGGGCCAACCGCCAACAUAUAAAUCCCAAAUGACUCAAGCAAAAGCUCCAGGAGGACAUCCAGUUAUGAUAAGACAAAAUCAAGGUUUUUGAGUCGAUGAGUCGGCGAGUCGCUCAGGGGGGGCGACUCUAGACUAGUCGUGACUCAUGGUCGACGAGUCGACAUGCGAUGAGUCGACGUGAGUUAAGUAGUAGGGAGCAGACCAGCGGCAACUAAGGGAGGAGCCGCAGCAGCAAGAGAUGGGAGGGGCAGACCUGCAGUAGCAGCAACCAAGGGAUGAGCAGCAGCAACCAGGGGAGAAGGGGACGAGCAGCCAGCCAGCGGCAGCGGCUGCUGCAGAAGAGAGCUGGGUCGGGGGAGGGGAGUGGAACUGUUCGAUCUAGGUUUCCAGACGCUCCAAUCUUCCUUCAAUAUUGGCCCAGAAGCAAUAUUAGCCCAAUAAGGCCCAAUGAAACCCUAGCCUGCCUAGCUCAAUCUGAACCAUCUAUAUUCUCUAAUCUUCACCGUCCAUCCACUCUCUUCUUUCUCUCUCUCUCACCUGCUCCCCUUCCAGCCUCCAGGAACGAAUCGACAGCCGCAAUGGCCUUGCUGCAGCUCCUCUUCCAUGGCUUCUCUGCCUUCGCCCCUUCCUCUCCGCCUCCCCCAUCCUUCUCUGCUCCGUUUUCUACGCCCAACUCCUCUUCCAUCACAGGUUGAUCGAGUCGUUCGACUCAAAAACCGCGACUAGUCGAGACUAGUCGGGACUAGUCGAUCAAGUCGCUCGACUCAUCCAAUGAUUCGAGUCGACAGGUUGAGUCAACCUUCAUGUAACGACUCGUCGACUAGUCGACGACUAGUCGCGACUAGUCGUUCGACUCGAAAUCCAUGGACAAAAUAUAAGAGCCUUUCUAACAAAUACACUUUUGCAGUUGAUAAAUUUAUUUGACACUCAUUUCGAAUCCGUGCAAGGGAUCUGUGCCACGUUGAUGCAUCAGAAAUGUGGCAGUUAAUAUUGACAGCAGCAGCUAAAGAAUAGACUAACUACCAAUGAACUAAAUAGCAUAGAGAAUCAUAACAAAAGGUCUGCUCUGACCAAAACAAAUAUGAAGGUAAUAUGAGCUUCAGAUUAUAAAAAACAGAGACAUAGCAGAUCAAAGGGCAAUCGAUAACCAGAUGAAUAGAACUGUCAAUAGCUACAAGCAUUGGAGGAAAAAAGGGCAAUCGUUUGACUCAUAUAUAGUACGUACAACUAGAAAGGCAAAAACGAUGCCAACUAGAAACCAACCCAAGUAAAGCUAGGGUUGUUGGGUUCGUCACCAAGAGAAGAUAUCAAUCCAGAUCCGGAUCUCACAUCAACACAAUAGAGAAAUAGAAAAUUAAAAACAAUGUAUAGUGGAGAAAAAAAAACUGAGUAUUUGUAGCGUAGCAAGAGGGCUCAGUUUUGCCUUUUAUCUUGAAGCCCAACACUCACGUCUCUUGCUGCAUAACCUACCCAUCGCGAUGUAAUUGAACUGCCCUGGUUAUCACUCAUCAGAAUGACCAUCCGAGGCGCAGAACAUCCAACAUUAGCCAUGAAUUGAAUAGGCUGCAAGAGAAGUAAGGGUGAGAGCUCUUAAGGGCAUCUCCAACGCCGGCACCCAUUUGGGGCCUAUUUAGUACCCACAUGCCACGGCUGUCUUGAUUGCUCAACACAUAAUUAUUUCAGCCGCAGGCAUCAUCAUCGCCCUUUUUUUUUAAAAAAAAAAAGGUCAAACCCCCCAAGCAACAUGACCAUAACAUCCAUCAUCCAUCCAUCCAUUCAUCCAUCAGACUAGCCAUAGUGGUGAGUAACUUAGACAAUCUCAGGAGCUGCUCAUACCUGGCCUUGACCGACCAAACCUCCUGGUGUGGACGACACAUCAGACAACGCCUUACGGUUCCCAGCCACGCCACAACCAAAUCCAAGGCAAUGGACUGGCGGCGGCUGGCAGCACCGUAGAGACCGGGAACUGACAUGGCAGCUACCCGGACGAUGGGUCAGCGAGUCGGCAAUGAAAGCUUGACUGAUUUGUUUAAGGGAGAGANNN